rnacentral:rRNA from 1 species
GACGAACGCUGGCGGCGUGCUUAACACAUGCAAGUCGAACGGAAAGGCCCUGCUUUUGUGGGGUGCUCGAGUGGCGAACGGGUGAGUAACACGUGAGUAACCUGCCCUUGACUUUGGGAUAACUUCAGGAAACUGGGGCUAAUACCGGAUAGGAGCUCCUGCUGCAUGGUGGGGGUUGGAAAGUUUCGGCGGUUGGGGAUGGACUCGCGGCUUAUCAGCUUGUUGGUGGGGUAGUGGCUUACCAAGGCUUUGACGGGUAGCCGGCCUGAGAGGGUGACCGGCCACAUUGGGACUGAGAUACGGCCCAGACUCCUACGGGAGGCAGCAGUGGGGAAUAUUGCACAAUGGGCAGAAGCCUGAUGCAGCAACGCCGCGUGCGGGAUGACGGCCUUCGGGUUGUAAACCGCUUUCGCCUGUGACGAAGCGUGAGUGACGGUAAUGGGUAAAGAAGCACCGGCUAACUACGUGCCAGCAGCCGCGGUGAUACGUAGGGUGCGAGCGUUGUCCGGAUUUAUUGGGCGUAAAGGGCUCGUAGGUGGUUGAUCGCGUCGGAAGUGUAAUCUUGGGGCUUAACCCUGAGCGUGCUUUCGAUACGGGUUGACUUGAGGAAGGUAGGGGAGAAUGGAAUUCCUGGUGGAGCGGUGGAAUGCGCAGGUAUCAGGAGGAACACCAGUGGCGAAGGCGGUUCUCUGGGCCUUUCCUGACGCUGAGGAGCGAAAGCGUGGGGAGCGAACAGGCUUAGAUACCCUGGUAGUCCACGCUGUAAACGGUGGGUACUAGGUGUGGGGUCCAUUCCACGGGUUCCGUGCCGUAGCUAACGCUUUAAGUACCCCGCCUGGGGAGUACGGCCGCAAGGCUAAAACUCAAAGGAAUUGACGGGGCCCCGCACAAGCGGCGGAGCAUGCGGAUUAAUUCGAUGCAACGCGUAGAACCUUACCUGGGUUUGACAUGGAUCGGGAGUGCUCAGAGAUGGGUGUGCCUCUUUUGGGGUCGGUUCACAGGUGGUGCAUGGCUGUCGUCAGCUCGUGUCGUGAGAUGUUGGGUUAAGUCCCGCAACGAGCGCAACCCUUGUUCACUGUUGCCAGCACGUUAUGGUGGGGACUCAGUGGAGACCGCCGGGGUCAACUCGGAGGAAGGUGGGGAUGACGUCAAGUCAUCAUGCCCCUUAUGUCCAGGGCUUCACGCAUGCUACAAUGGCUGGUACAGAGAGUGGCGAGCCUGUGAGGGUGAGCGAAUCCCGGAAAGCCGGUCUCAGUUCGGAUUGGGGUCUGCAACUCGACCUCAUGAAGUCGGAGUCGCUAGUAAUCGCAGAUCAGCAACGCUGCGGUGAAUACGUUCCCGGGGCU